rnacentral:rRNA from 1 species
UACGUAGGGUGCAAGCGUUAAUCGGAAUUACUGGGCGUAAAGCGUGCGCAGGCGGUUGUGCAAGACCGAUGUGAAAUCCCCGGGCUCAACCUGGGAACUGCAUUUGUGACUGCAUGGCUAGAGUACGGUAGAGGGGGAUGGAAUUCCGCGUGUAGCAGUGAAAUGCGUAGAUAUGCGGAGGAACACCGAUGGCGAAGGCAAUCCCCUGGACCUGUACUGACGCUCAUGCACGAAAGCGUGGGGAGCAAACAGG